UACGGAGGGUGCGAGCGUUGUUUGGAAUCACUGGGCGUAAAGCGCGUGUAGGCGGCUCGAUAAGUCUGGUUUGAAAGCACGGGGCUCACCCCCGGAAGUGCACUGGAUACUGUCGAGCUCGAGUCCCGGAGAGGAGAGUGGAAUUCCUGGUGUAGCGGUGAAAUGCGUAGAUAUCAGGAGGAACACCGGUGGCGAAGGCGGCUCUCUUGACGGUGACUGACUCUGAGAUUCGAAAUCGUGGCGAGCAAACAGU
rnacentral:rRNA from 1 species